CACGGAGUUAGCCGGUGCUUAUUCAUUGGGUACCGUCAGUUUCUGAUGAAUCAGACUUUUUCUUCCCCAAUAAAAGAAGUUUACGAACCAGAGAUCCUUCAUCCUUCACGCGGGAUGGCUGGGUCAGACUUGCGUCCAUUGCCCAAUAUUCCCUA
rnacentral:rRNA from 1 species